ACUGUGUGGAAGUCAACGUUACAACAAUAGAGCUGUUAAACAUAGGCCUCUCCCUUGGGGAGUUUUGCCAGUAGUUGCCACGUUUGGCAUUGGUGAUGUUUUAAGAGGGACGCUGCUGCCCAUCCCUCACCCUCCCUUAGUCGCCUCUUACAUCACCCACUGGAAAGGAAUUCUACGCUGGGACCACACAGCUAGAUAGUACGAGUGAGCUCAAGCGCAUCUGCGGUGCGAGCGGACUCUACACAACUUCUUUAUGGCUUAAUAAACGAAAUAAAUCCAGUUUUUAUAAUAUUAA